UGAUGCUGAUAAUUGCUGAUCUGGGACCACACUUUGGCAGCCAAUCGGCUGAGGCCACGACCCUUCCCCAGCCAAUCGGCUAAGGCCAUGAUCCCUAUAAAACCUUUGUGCUUUUGAAACCCGCUCUCUCUCGGGUAUCUCACCGCCGGUGCAGGUAGGUAGGGGAUUGAGCUCGAGCUAGCUCAAAUAAAGGCUCUUUGCUUUUGCAUCGGACUCGGCUCCCUGGUGGUCUUUGGGGAUCACGAAUGCUGGGCAUAACAACAGGAGCUGUGACAAAGGUCCGAAUAGUCCGUGGAGCUUCAGGCCACGUGUGUAACAGGAAAAUCAUUAAGCAUCGUGCACUAGGGGAAUAAGAAAAGUGUGCGCAUUGUUGCAAAUCCCAAUUAUAAGUCAGACAAAUCAUCGGAGAGCCAGUAGUUUGACCUCUGUGUGAUCCAAUCAGCCAGCAUAAAGAAAAUUAAUCAUAAAAUAAGAGUGUUCUCUUGUAUGGAAGCCACUAGUCUGGCAUUGGAGAAACACUGGGAAAAGAAGGCUGCGGAAGUUACUGUGUAAGUGGCACGUGGAGGGGAGGAGCGAGCCAGACAAAUAAAUUAACUAAUUAAUUAAAUCUGUUCUACGUCAGCUCCUGGCUGAGUAGUUUGUAUAAAAUAAAGCAAGGAAGUGGCUAGGGAGUUGGGAGUCACAAGGUUUUUUUUCAAAAAUUGUUCCAUGUUUGUCUCUCUUUGAGAGAGAAAGCGAGAGUGAGCAAGGGAGGGGCAGAGAGUCAGAGGACCUGAGGCAGGUUCCUCACUAACGGCGCCGACAGCCGAGAGCCCGACCCCACAAGCCGUGAGAUCGUGACCUGAGUCAAGGUCAAACGCUCCACUGACCGAGCCACCCAGGCGCACGAUGUGAAGGAGGGUAGGCGGACAGGGACGGUGGACACCACUGACAUCAAGUGGAGAGAGAAACACCAUCUAGGGGAAGCCACUCCAGGUGGAAGGGACCUGUGCGACGUACCCAAGUCAGCUCCCUGCUAAGCACCUUCUGGAACAGCCAGAGAGGCUGGUGUGGGCACAGCAAAGGGAGCCGUGGGGGGAGAAGUUUCGAGGUCCCCACGUCUGCCUCUUCCUCGUAGUGCAACUUCCUGCACAGAACCUCACAAACCCGAAGGCUCUCCAGGCAGCUGUUGAAAAUGAGCCCCGCAAAAUGAGAGCCGAUGGCCUCACGUGCGCUAGGAUCUGGAUCCAGGGCAGCGAAGGGUAUUCUUGUAAAAGUCUCCCUAAAGAGGUGACUUCUAACAGAGGAAUCCCGUUCUCCGCCAUACCCCCAGCACCAGGCAGACUCUGGAACGACACUGCACCCCAGGGCCAACAAUUUUGGAAACAAUCAUCAUGUUGGGAGGCCUAUCGCAAGUUCUUAAAUAGGCCCAUAAGAAGACACGAACGCUGAUGUUCAUUAACAUAUUACUUAUGGUGACGACAAAUUGAGGACAGUCCUACCGGGCAAUACUGAGGGAGUAGACAGGGAAAAUUCCUGUUUCUAGAAGUUUUUCUGGUUACCGUUACUGCAUAGGAAGCCAGCCCAAAAUCUGGUACCAUAAGAAACAUUUCGUUAUAUUCGUGGAUUCUGUGGUCAGGAUGUGCUCCAAGAUGUCUGGAGCUCAGGUGGGAGUUCACCGACUUGGGGUGACUCUCGGCAUAGCUGCGGAGGACGACAAUCACCUGACGGCAUCUUUAUCCCCACGCCUGUGCGUUGACACCGUGGGCCAGACCACUGACACGGGGUCCGGGCUACAGUACGGCGGCCUCACAGCGGUCAGACUUCUCCUGUGGUGACUUAGGAUUCCAACCGUGAGUCUCCCAACACCCCCGACCAGAAACUGUGACUUCCCACGUCAGAAUUAACCUCAAGACGCUAACGAAGUCCGACAGCGUCCUGACAGAUGUCCACGAGACGACUCACUAUGGACAGACGGGUGCAAAGGUGGGAGCAGGAAUUUCAGUUAGAAAAGGCGCCUGAAAACCGGAUGAAGGGCAUAGAAGGUGGUGCCACCAAAGCCGCGCAGUCCUAAGGACCAGUCUUUGUAGAAGACUGUCCUGAGUAGGUCAGGCCUUCGGCCUCUCCGGUGGUGACCUGUAACAGCCAUUCGUGCCCCCAGCCAUGGAGACAGCCAAAGCACUCACACAUUUCCAAAAUGCGCCUGCAGGGGGCGGCACAGCUUUACUGGGGGGGGGAAGGAGGAGGAGGAAAAAAAUGAAAAUCUGGGGAUUAGGAUGCAGCGCCUCAGUGAUGAAUAUUUAUCACAAGGGAUACCUGCUAAGCAACGGCACCCGCCGGCCCCAUGGUGUAAUGGUUAGCACUCUGGACUUUGAAUCCAGCGAUCCGAGUUCAAAUCUCGGUGGGACCUUCCGGGCUUCUCUUUGCCAAUUUUUUUUUUUUUUUUUUCUAUUUUUCUUCCCGUGAUCUCUCUUAAAACGACCCUCUCCCCCUGUAAGGCAGCCCAUACGAAGCCCUAACGACCAAUAAUAUUACCGGAAGCCAGAGCCCGCCCGCGCCAGCGAGACCCUGCGGAGAAACGCGCACAAGAAGCAGUCUCCAAUCCCGUAAACUGCUCCCAGAUCCAGAUUGGGGGCGGGGGGCGGGACUCGUGUCUCCCACGUGUGCCCUUGGCUGGAUUCCUACAGAGGAGGUUGUGCACACAGAAGAACUUCCGUUUUACGAGGAAUUGCCAGGUUACUGUGAGACUGGAAAAGGGAUCUGCGCUGAGAAGUGAUCAAUACCCGGUCUGAGCGGGUCCGCCCUCCCCGCGCUUGGCCUCCUCCAUCGGACGCUCUCACCAAGCCCAGGCCCGCAGAGCGAACGGUCCCCUGCCCGCGGCCCGCAGCCCUUGCGGCCCCCCUCGACCCCUCGGAGCUUCCCGCGGCCCCCAGCCCUUGCAGGCCCCCUCGCCCCACCCCCUCCCCUCGGCGAGCUGCACGCCUCCGAGAUUCCUUCUUGCACGUGAGUCGUGCUGCGUGGACGCCCGUGCUGGUCGCUUGCAGAAUUCUCGCCGCAGCACGAUCGCGGCCCAAACCUGCCCGCAUCUCCUGCCUCGUCCGCCUGUCACUGUUCCUGCCCCUCGCAGGGUCCCGCGUCAGCUUCUAGUCACCAGCCGGGGUAAAAGUAUUUCUGUUCCUUCCGUUCUUCCCCCCUCUCUUCUCGUUUUCUACCCACUCAAUGUCUUCGCCCUCCCCCUCUGCCCUCGUGUCCUCCAAAAACCAACUUGCACCCUGCAGCCCUUCUCCCUGGGGCCGCCGCUGGCUCCCUGGCCCCGGGCGUCAGUGCCUCCUCCGUGUUCCCCUUCUCAUCCCGCCUCGGGUUUCAAUUCCUCGUGCAAGAAACCCUCCCUCCUGCGCGAGGGGGAGGGGUCAGCCCUGACGCCCGCUCACCUUUCAGGUCUGGGUCCCACGGGCCCUGGUCGUGGCCGUGCACCCGGACUGACUCACGCAUCCCAGAACCCAUACCUGGUUCCUUCUCACUCCUUUUCCUUCCAUGAUCCCGAGUCUACACCCGCUAAGAACGAGAUUUGCCCCCAGACCGGAGCAGAAGUCUCCCUGGAGAUGAAUGUCCACAACGAGUGGUCUUAAUGAGGCCACUCAGUGGCUAAAGGGAGGAGGAGGAGGGGGUCGGACCACCGUUUUUUCGCCUGUUUUGGGCAAGAACUCACUUCAGGGAAGAAAGGCCCCUUUCCCUGCAUUCCUGCCCAGCCCCCGAGGCCCGCCUCCGGAGCGCACUAAUCGUGCGUUCGCUGAAGACUUCGGAGUGGGCACGGGAAGCGGACUUGGGCUGAGGGUGCUCCGAUCUCGUCUCCGUGGGCGCAGGACGGAGACAUAGGCUCCUGGACGGUGCCCUUCCUGGGCGCCCGCUCAGGUCACACCCGGGCUCUCAGCCGGCUCACCUGCGGGCGGAGGGAAACCCCCCAGGAGGCGCCCAGACGUGCUGAUAAACGGGGAGCCGCUGCUGCUCAAGUCAGGGGCCCUCCCUGAACCUCCCAAGGUCAAGGUCAUUGGGAUUCUUUUUUUCCUUUGGCGUCGGAAACUGUGAUUGAACUAGUGUGUUCACCUCUGGCUGCCUUCGUGGAGGAAUGAGAAAUGUCGGGGCUUUCCCGGCGCAGGGUUAAAGGUGUUCUUUGGCAGGACCUUUUCCUCAUCUGCGCCGGAUCUUGGCGGAUUGAAGGACCCGCGGAGGAUUUGCACCCUCUGUCCCGAGGAGUUCCUACCCACUCUGCGCGAAUACGACCUGCACCUGUUCUAGGCUUCUGGAAAAUUCCCAGCCCCGCUUUCCAGAAAGAACCACCCUGCAAAACUCGCUCUGCGAGGGGACCCCGCAAGAAGCCCGGUGUUUACAGGGAGAACGGCGCGUUGCGGGGUUCGGUCCUCCGGGGUUGGGGUGUUGGGGGCGGCCUGGUUUCGCGGCGCUUUGUUGCGCGUUGCCGUCUGUGUCCACCAGGGGGCGCGCCGUCCUCUCAGCGCCUCGCUGAAGAAUCCUUUAAUCUGGGGAGGCGGCCCGGACCGGCGGCCCUGCGCCCACGGGCUCCGGAUCCUGAAAUCCCGGGGGGGCAGCCCGGCCGGGCUGUCCCGCGCCCACAGGCUCCGCAUCCUGGGAAAGCACCCAGAGCGCGCACGCAGCCAACGAAAGGGCGGCGGCGGGCGGGAGGCCCCCGUGUCGCUCCAGCAGGUGCCAGCUUCUGGUAAAGAGCUGAGGGCUAAGUCGCUUCUGGUGAACGUAGACAUGAGCUCAUCAGCCUGGAGAGAAGCCUCGGGAGCUGGGUCCCAAGUCCUGUGGGUCUCUGCCUCAUUACCUACCUCAGAGCAAAGACGCCGGUGCCCUUGGACACAACAGGGUCUCCUUGGCGAGCCUGGCAGGCUUUGAAGGGAUGCGGAAAAUAACGACGGCGGUCGUCAACGUCUGGAGCAUCUGUCUGAGGGCGUCUGGAAUGAUACAGCUCAGAGUCUGCACGAAUCGGGCCCAGGGCUCCGUCUCUGCGGACACGAUCUGCACCCCAAGGGCAGUCUGACCCUGUUUUUCUCUGCUCCACUAUUCCCUGUUCCUUCUUCUGAUUCCCCCCACUCUUCUCUGGCUACUUGCAAAAUAAACCAGAGCGUUGUCUGCGCUCUUUCUGAGAUGCCCGGAAAAACUGCAUCGACGGUCUGACAGCGCCCUGUCCUUCAGCAGGACCGCACUUACCUCGCCCGGUAGCAACAAGAGACUUACAAACUGGGUGGCAGCUCCCCAUCCUGGCAUCACACGAGGGUGGGUGUAAUUCGCGUGAAUCAAAGGAUUUACGUGGGGAAUCCGGGAAGGUUCUCGCUGAGCUGGAGGCAUCGGAAGCGGAGCCCCGGGCUGGAAGGGCCGGAGAACCUCCAGCAAGUUCAGCGCGCAGCCUUGCUUCCUGCGGCUGAGCUCCCAAAACGCUCGGCCCGUUUCCACAGACAGGGACUCGUUCAAGGUGCGGCCACGGCAGCCGAGGGCGGGGGCCCCACAGCGUCCGCCGAAAGUGUACCACUGAGUCCGGGAAGACGAGCGCGGAUGAGGCCAAGCGCCGGGAGUGCAGCGAGCUGAACCUUUUCUGCAGGUGAACUCGGUCGCGGCCACGCAAACCAGGACCUCGUCUGCCUUUAAUCACAGCCCAGCCCUCAGGAGCACGGACGAUGGGGGGGCGGGAUUAAGGAGACAUUCGGGAAGACACACAGCAGAUUUGGGACACCAGGGGGGUGAGCCACCCGGCUCCGGUGAGGAUGGGGACAGGGUGCGCUGCGGCUCCUGCUCCGGGCACAGCUGACCUGGACGCUGCGCUGGACGGCGGCGGGGACCCCACGGAGCGCAAGGCGGCAGGACGGUCCCGCGCUGGGAGCUUGCUGGCGGGCGGGCGGGAGGAUGCUGUUAAAGGAGCAAACUAUGUGCGGGUCCGAUGGGGGCAAUUGGGGUGCCGAGGAAACCUACUGGGAGCAGCGAAGCCGAAGCCCGGAUCAAGGCAGCGGAAGAAGCCUCGGGAAGAACCGUGACGCCCAGGCGGAGGGAUGAGCAGCAGGCGCAGUUUGGGCACGCAUGGACAAGGAGAGGCUAGAAAAGACACCUUCCCAGUUCCGGCACAUAACGUUGCUCCAGAGAAGAAUUUGCAGCCCAUUACGAUGGACUCGAAAGGAGUGUCGUGAAAUCGUGCGCAGGAAUAGACACGCGAGUGAAAGAAGCAGGAAACCCACCCAAGUAAAAAGGCAGCUUUGCAGUAACCAGCGGCCUGGGCAAAAGCCGAACACCUGAGUCAGGUGUUCCCAACACAUCACCCUGGGCCUGGCCGCGAGCCUCCGGCCUGGCGAUCUGACUCCAGUCUCCAGGACCCUCUGCGGUCCCACAGCAGCGGUGUCGUGAGUGGGGCCAAACGGUCACUGCCCUUCCACCAGACGGAGGAAGACGGCUCCACCAGCCGCAGACGCUGUGCCCGCCAGCAGCAUUUGCCGAAACGACACUGUGGGGAAAAAUGAUCAGUCACAACGCUCCCAGAGGGAGGAAGAUUUUUAUUAAAACUUCAGCUUCACAGACGGAGGAAGAGCUUUGUUAAAGACAAUGAAAUACUGUUACGAAACAGCCCAGUAAGUGCACAUUUGUAGAGAAAAUGGGGAAGAGGCAUCUGUGUAAUUUAGGAACCAAAAUACAAGACCGCCUCUCUGCUUCUUCACACGCAAUUCUACCCCUUCACUUCCUCCACCAUGAAACACACCUCUGAUCCAGGGCUCUACAAAGACACCUGAACAGAACAAGGGGGAGAGUCGGGGACACUGCCUUUGGGGUGGGUGGCUGAGAAAUCGCCAGCUGCGGGUAGGGAGCCCUCUUCGUUCAGUUCACUCUCUCUGCUUGGUUUCCGGCUCAGUUUUGGGUCUUCUGAUGAGACGGUGUCCAUGCGGCUUGGCUGAGAUUUUAAAACUCCAACAGCUCCCAAACCCUGGGAACUGUGAAGGCAGAGGGCUCCUAAGAAAACAACUAUACUGAUGACUCUGGUGGAGACAGUCUCUAAUUUUCAAGGAGUGGAACAGGCCCAGAGACUAAGGUGUGGUUUUGCGAUCACCCCGUAACACAACGUCCAAGCUGACAGCGCCCAGCUGUGUGACUGGGACGGAGACACAGGGCCCUGCACCCAGAGGGGCCUCCUGCUCUGCCGUCGCUAUCUUGAGAUGGUUGAUGACCUUCGGCCAAGAGACCCCACAGCUGCAUUUUGCACUGGGCCUCACAAAGUAUGUAGCUGGUCCUACAUCAAGUAAGAACAAAAUUUUUAACAUACAUCCCGAAAUCAUGGGCAAGCACCAUAAGGGACACUAAUGCUCAGAACCAAAGAGGAAAAGGAGAAAGUAAGUAAAGUGACUACUGAUAGAACUUGAGACUAAGGAAAAGGAAGACCAAAGAAACAAGCUUUCUUUAUCCCCUUCCCGGGAGGCUGACUGACCUUCCUCAAUCAGAACCCGAUGACCACUCACCAGACAGGAGAAAGAUGGCCGAGCCGGACAGGUGUAUGAGAAGAGAGACCCUGGUAACCUGAGGGAGAUGGCAAUAUUCCCGAGGCCCCAGAUGAGAGGAUGAGCCAAUUGCCCAGGGUAACUAGGAAGAAAGGCAGAACACACACCCGUGAGGUCAUAGAUGAGGUCAUGAGGCUGUGUGGAAAACGUCUUCUAUUUUCUCAGAGGAAGAGACGGCAAGGUCCUGGCCGAGGUGAGCACGGGGCAGGAGGUUCUGGAGACGGUGACAGGUGAGAAGUUACCUAGAAGAGAGGGCUGGGGAAUGGUGUGGGGUCGCGGGGCGGCACGAAGGGCUCACUCAAGGUUUAUGGUCAUGAGUUUACAACCGGACAAGUCAGCCUGGUUUUUCCAGUUUCAUUCACUGUAUGGGUGUAGGCAGUGAAUAAACAGAAAUGCAGGUUUUUGAUGGGUCGGCAUCGCAUACGAGUGUUGAUGAGGCAGGUGGGUGGAGGGGGUGUGCAAGAGAGUGGCUCUAAUGGCGUCGGGUAAGGCGGAAGUGAGGACGUGACAAGGGGGGUGGGCAACACGGGGGGAGGUGGGAGUGGACACAGGUGCCCUGGGGUCAGGGGGCUGAUAGAGCUGAGGCCCGAGAGGGGAUGAGUGGGAAGAGGUCACAGACAGAGCGAGACGCUUGAGGGUCUAACCACGUCUAAGGCAGUUUUAAACCUGCAGCUCUCCGCAGCAAGACACUGUGGACGGACAGAUCGGCUCUGGAGGUCACAACGAACCUUUCUGACUUUGUGCUUCCGUUGUUCGUUUUGAGUUUUUAAAAUUUAUUUAAAUAUGAGUAAACACACAUUUGGUACUUUCUACCUUUUACUUGUAAGUAGCAAAGGCAAGUAGUGGAUUACAAAACGUCCAAACUAUACACACGCACACGUACAGUCUGCACGCAAGACAGAUUUAUGGCCGUGAGCCGAGGCGCAGGUUGGAAAGCCCUGGUCUGAGCCUGGGCCGUAUGAGGGGCUGCGAGGAGGGGGCGGAGACAAGAUCACGGGAUGAGCGACCAGGGAGCUGGGAGGCCAGGAGUACUGGGAACGGCCUUCCCGGGUACUAACCUCACCAAGAAUCAUGCCAGGGGUCGUAUCAGAGUGAGAGUACUCCAAGGGCUUACAUUUUCAAAAAAUGGGAGGACUUAUCCCAACAGGCUGUAGAUGACAGCAAAAAUAAAAAGGUGUGGCCAAGUCCUGGGGAAAAGCUUCCAGGCUAGGAGUUUUUACGGAGGGGGAGAGAACAGUCUGGAAGAGGUGAGGAGGAGCAACGGGCUAACACACUGGGGAGGAGCCAGCAGGGGGAACGGGGUCCUCAAGAGAGAACCCGGCUCUGGUGAGGAAGUGGACAGAAGGACCAGUCGGAGACUGAGAACACAGGCCACUGUGCCUGCUCAUUGGUGGCCCACGGGGUGACAUCAUAAAGUGGGGAAAUCCUUACGGACCCAGCAUUAUGAUCUAACCUGCCUCUGCCAGCACAGUGCAUGUUCUCAUGUUCUCUUUCUCUGGCACUCGCUCAACACAAAGCCAUCCUUUGUCAGUGUCCCUUUUUCUGCUCUGCAAGUAGGAAGAGACCCCACGCUUGUGAACAAGUCCAGACGCGACUGAGAGCGAUGUCAGGGUCACUGAGGGAACCCAGAACUCGACUCACCAAAACUGGUAGAUUUGGGACACACUUGCUGGGUUUGCAAGGAUAUUCAUCAUCGUCGACAGACCGGAGUCAGUGAAUACCUGAUACACCACGUUAACCGAAUAAAGGACUAAUUAAGAGGUGCAGAAAAAGCAUCUGACAAGACUCAACAACCUCUCAUGAUAAAACCUCUCGACAAACUAGGUUUAGAAGGAUGUGCCUAAACGUAAUAAAGAUCAAUUAUGAGCCCACAGCUAA